GAUGAACGCUGGCGGCGUGCUUAACACAUGCAAGUCGAACGAUGAAGCCCAGCUUGCUGGGUGGAUUAGUGGCGAACGGGUGAGUAACACGUGAGUAACCUGCCCUUAACUCUGGGAUAAGCCUGGGAAACUGGGUCUAAUACCGGAUAGGAGCGUCCACCGCAGGGUGGGUGUUGGAAAGAUUUAUCGGUUUUGGAUGGACUCGCGGCCUAUCAGCUUGUUGGUGAGGUAAGGGCUCACCAAGGCGACGACGGGUAGCCGGCCUGAGAGGGUGACCGGCCACACUGGGACUGAGACACGGCCCAGACUCCUACGGGAGGCAGCAGUGGGGAAUAUUGCACAAUGGGCGCAAGCCUGAUGCAGCGACGCCGCGUGAGGGAUGACGGCCUUCGGGUUGUAAACCUCUUUCAGUAGGGAAGAAGCGAAAGUGACGGUACCUGCAGAAGAAGCACCGGCUAACUACGUG
rnacentral:rRNA from 1 species